rnacentral:ribozyme from 1 species
GUUACAUUUUUUUCUUUUUUUUUUUGCCGCUUUUAUUUUUCUUUUAUUUCGAAUUUUUUCCAUCUCGUGCAUGUUGGUUGGGUUUCUCAAGAUUUCGGUCAAAAAGACUAGAAAAAAGAGAGAAG